rnacentral:rRNA from 1 species
AACGAACGCUGGCGGCAGGCUUAACACAUGCAAGUCGAACGCCCCGCAAGGGGAGUGGCAGACGGGUGAGUAACGCGUGGGAAUCUACCCAGUUCUACGGAACAACACAGGGAAACUUGUGCUAAUACCGUAUACGCCCUAAGGGGGAAAGAUUUAUCGGAAUUGGAUGAGCCCGCGUUGGAUUAGCUAGUUGGUGGGGUAAUGGCCUACCAAGGCGACGAUCCAUAGCUGGUCUGAGAGGAUGAUCAGCCACACUGGGACUGAGACACGGCCCAGACUCCUACGGGAGGCAGCAGUGGGGAAUAUUGGACAAUGGGCGCAAGCCUGAUCCAGCCAUGCCGCGUGAGUGAUGAAGGCCUUAGGGUUGUAAAGCUCUUUCAGUAGGGACGAUAAUGACGGUACCUACAGAAGAAGCCCCGGCUAACUUCGUGCCAGCCGCCGCAGUAACAC